ACACUCCUACGGGAGGCAGCAGUGGGGAAUUUUGGACAAUGGGGGCAACCCUGAUCCAGCAAUGCCGCGUGAGUGAAGAAGGCCUUCGGGUUGUAAAGCUCUUUUGUCAGGGAAGAAACGGUGGUGGCGAAUAACUACUACUAAUGACGGUACCUGAAGAAUAAGCACCGGCUAACUACGUGCCAGCAGCCGCGGUAAUACGUAGGGUGCAAGCGUUAAUCGGAAUUACUGGGUGUAAAGCGUGCGCAGGCGGUUGUGUAAGUCAGAUGUGAAAUCCCCGGGCUCAACCUGGGAAUUGCAUUUGAGACUGCACGGCUAGAGUGUGUCAGAAGGGGGUAGAAUUCCACGUGUAGCAGUGAAAUGCGUAGAUAUGUAGAGGAAUACCGAUGGCGAAGGCAGCCCCCUGGGAUAACACUGACGCUCAUGCACGAAAGCGUGGGGAGCAAACAGGAUUAGAUACCCCAGUAGUCCCAUGA
rnacentral:rRNA from 1 species